rnacentral:rRNA from 15 species
CUCCCCAUCCGACCCGUCUUGUAACACGGACCAAGGAGUCUAACAUCUACGCGAGUGUUCGGGUGUCAAACCCGUGCGCGAAGUGAAAGCGAACGGAGGUGGGAACCCGCAAGGGUGCACCAUCGACCGAUCCUGAAGUCUUCGGAUGGAUUUGAGUAAGAGCGUAGCUGUUGGGACCCGAAAGAUGGUGAACUAUGC